rnacentral:rRNA from 1 species
AGCCUUAAGGAAUUAUUUAAGGUGAUGCCUGCCCAGUGCAAAAUGUUAACGGCCGCAGUACCUUGACUGUGCUAAGGUAGCAUAAUCAGUUGGCUUUUAAAUGGAGUCGGGAAUGAAUGGACUAAUGGGGCUAAGCUGUCUCUCCUAUACUUAAUUGAAUUUAUUUAUUAGGUGAAAAUACCUAAAUGUAGAAAAAAGACGAGAAGACCCUAGGAGUUUUUACUAAAGAUUAUAAUUCUACGUUUUUGUUGGGGCGACAAGAGAAGAGUUAAACUUCUUUUAAAAACAGGCCGACUUUGGUAAGUAAGAAUAAACUACCCUAGGGAUAACAGCGUAAUUCUUUUUGAGUUUGCGACCUCGAUGUUGGACUAGGGAUCUGGUAGGCUAGCCGCCUACUAUAUAUUGUUCUGUUCGAACUUAAUUCC